CGGGGCGUCCCUCUUGUUCUCCGGUGACGAGGGGAAGGGCCGUAAGAACCCUUGAAUUCGAAGAGGAAGCCGAGAACCAAGCAAGAGAGACGCUCAGAGCUCUCACUCUCUCUCGUCCGCUCGCUUCCAGAGGCAAGGUUGAAGUAAAGAAGAAAAGGGAGAGAAAGGGGAGGGAGAUGGGGAGGAAGGGACAGAAGAAGGGGAAGGGAGGGGAGCAGCAGCCGGGCGUCGUCUCCGAGGACACCCGCAUUCGAAUAGACAAAGUCCUCCAGGAGUUCCGAGUCUCGGGUGCCGAAGUCUACACCUUCGAACCUGGUUUGUCAAGACAUGAACGAGCUGCAAUUCAUGAAAUGUGCAGAAAAAUGGGCAUGGUAUCAAAAAGUUCUGGGUAUGGAGAACGCAGAUGCCUUUCGGUUUACAAAAACAGAAACAAACAGGGAGCUGUCAAGAAUGAAGAAGAAACUGUUACUUGCUUGAAAUUUUCAGAAGAAACAAAAAAUGUUUUACAGGACCUAUUUACAUGUUUUCCUCCUGGUGAUGGAGAGCUGAGUGAAGAAGCACUCAGGAAUUCUAGUGAAAAGGCUGGUAAACGACCAUGGAAGCAGGAUACUGGCUUUUGCAAGCCAUCGAUGCACAAGUUUGAAAUUGCAAAGAAGGUGGAUCUGCUCGCAUCUAAAAUAAAUGAGUCUGCACAGCUGAGAAAGCUGAUGGAAGACAGAGCUAAACUUCCAAUUGCAUACUUCAAGGAUGUCAUCACAUCAACAUUGGAAACUGAUCAGGUGGUGCUGAUAUCUGGUGAGACCGGUUGCGGUAAAACUACUCAGGUCCCUCAAUAUAUCUUGGAUCAUAUGUGGGGAAAAGAUGAGGCUUGUAAAAUUGUGUGCACACAACCCAGGCGCAUAUCAGCCAUUUCCGUUGCUGAGAGGAUUGCUUAUGAAAGAGGGGAAACUGUUGGAGAAAAUGUUGGAUAUAAGAUACGCCUGGAGUCUAAAGGCGGGAAAAACUCAUCAAUAAUGUUCUGCACUAAUGGAGUUCUUUUGAGAUUAUUGGUUAGCAGAGGUGCAAAUUCAUCCAAGGCAGAAACAGGAAACAGGUCAUUGGAGGAUAGUCUCAUGGGAAUAACACACAUUAUUGUGGAUGAAAUUCAUGAAAGGGACAGGUUUUCUGAUUUUAUGCUGGCAAUUCUCAGAGACCUCCUGCCUUCUUACCCUCAUCUACGAAUGGUACUCAUGAGUGCUACUAUUGAUGCUGAACGAUUUUCGAAGUACUUCAGUGGAUGCCCCAUUAUUCAGGUCCCGGGGUUCACAUAUCCUGUCAAAACUUUCUAUUUGGAGGAUGUGCUUUCUGUCUUAAAAUCUACAGAUGAUAAUCAUCUGAAUCCUGUGGCCAUAAGUGGUGUGGAGGAAGGUACUCCAUUGACAGAAGACUACAAAAAUGCCCUAGAUGAAUCAAUCAAUCUAGCUUUAGCAAAUGAAGAAUUUGACCCACUGUUAGAACUGAUUUCUACCGAGCAAACACCAAAAAUCUACAACUACCAGCAUUCAUUGACUGGUGCGUCACCAUUGAUGGUGUUUGCGGGGAAAGGUAGAGUAGGAGAUGUAUGCAUGCUCCUGUCAUUUGGUGCUGACUGCUCUUUAUGUGCCAAUGAUGGAAGCACUGCACUGGAUUGGGCUCAGCAAGAGAAUCAUCUCCAUGUCUGUGAAAUUAUUAAAAAACACAUGGAGAAAGCUUUAUCGAAGUCAGCAGAGGAGGAGGAGCUACUGAGCAAAUACCUAGCAAGCAUUAACCCAGUGCACAUUGACACUAUACUAAUAGAGAGGUUAUUAAGAAAAAUAUGUACUGAUUCCAAGGAAGGAGCAAUCCUAGUUUUUCUUCCAGGAUGGGAUGACAUAAAUCAAACUAGAGAGAGAUUGCUUGCAUCUCCAUUUUUUCGAGAUCCAUCAAAGUUUGUGAUACUCUCUCUCCAUUCUAUGAUUCCAUCUGCAGAGCAGAAGAAAGUUUUCAAAUGUCCACCUGCUGGAGUUCGUAAAAUCAUCCUCUCAACUAACAUUGCAGAGACUGCUGUUACCAUUGAUGAUGUUGUAUAUGUCAUAGACAGUGGUCGGAUGAAAGAGAAAAGUUAUGAUCCUUAUAACAAUGUAUCUACUCUGCAGUCUUCUUGGGUUUCAAAAGCUAGUGCUAGGCAGCGUGAGGGACGUGCUGGUCGUUGCCAGCCAGGAACUUGUUACCAUCUGUACUCGAGAACACGUGCAGCAUCUCUGCCAGAGUACCAAGUUCCUGAAAUAAAGCGGAUGCCAAUUGAGGAACUCUGUUUGCAGGUCAAGUUGCUUGAUCCCGAUUAUAGAAUAGUAAAUUUUUUGCACAGAACUUUGGACCCUCCAGUUCCAGAAACUAUCCGUAAUGCAAUCAUUGUUCUUCAAGACAUUGGUGCCUUAACGGAUGAUGAAAAGCUUACAGAUCUUGGGGAAAAGCUUGGUUCCCUUCCUGUUCAUCCAUCAACUAGCAAGAUGCUAUUAUUUGCUAUCUUGAUGAAUUGCCUAGAACCUGCAUUAACACUAGCAUGCGCAGCAGAUUAUAGGGAGCCCUUUAUUCUGCCAAUGGCUCCAGAUGAGAGGAAGAGAGCUGCGGUGGCCAAACUUGAGCUGGCUUCCUUGUAUGGUGGGUAUAGUGAUCAGCUUGCAGUAGUUGCAGCAUUUGAUUGUUGGAAGCGUGCAAAAGAUAGAGGUCAAGAAUCUCAGUUCUGCUCUAAGUAUUUUGUCUCUUCAAACACCAUGAAUAUGUUGUCUAGCAUGCGGAAGCAGCUUCAUAGCGAACUGGCAAAAAAUGGUUUUAUUCCUUCGGAUAUAUCCAGUUGUAGUUUAAAUGCUCGAGAUCCAGGUAUCCUGCAGGCUGUCCUCAUGGCUGGUACUUAUCCAAUGGUGGGAAGAUUGCUCCCCCGUCGCAAGAAUGGUGGUAAAAGAGCUAUUGUGGAGACAGCUAGCGGCGCCAAAGUACGCUUGCAUCCACAUUCCUCCAACUUCAACUUAUCGUUUAGUAAAUCUGCUGGUAGCCCACUUAUAAUUUAUGAUGAGAUUACCCGCGGAGAUGGAGGUAUGUACAUAAAAAACUGUUCUCUGGUUGGGCCAUAUCCAUUGUUGUUGCUUGCAAUGGAGAUUUUUGUUGCUCCUGCAAAUGAUGAUGUUGAAAGUGAUGAAGAUGAAGAAUCUUCCAGUGGUGAGGAAGAUGAGAUGGAGAUGAACACAUUAUCUGAGCAGCAUGGAGAGGAGAUUAUGUCUUCUCCUGAUAACACUGUAUUAGUCAUUGCUGACCGAUGGCUAAGAUUUGAGUCAACUGCACUCGAUGUUGCUCAGAUUUACUGCUUACGAGAACGGCUAUCUGCUGCUAUCUUAUUCAAAGUCAAAUAUCCACAGGAAGUUCUGCCUCCUGCUCUUGGAGCAUCUAUGUACACCAUUGCUUGUAUUCUUUCAUAUGAUGGAUUGCCGAGUAUAGUCCCUGUCGAUGAAUCGAUGGAACCCCAAACAUCAAAGGCAGAUGCUACUGACAUGAAGCAGGGAAGAAGAGCAAUUGGCUAUAUUUCUCCUGGCAAGUUCCUUAGAUCUUUGGUGUCAGAUAAAGCCCAAAAUAAAUCUAAUUUCCAUAAGAUGAGGGCAUCAAUGCAUGGUAGUGCCAUCUUGCCAUACUCUGCACCGCAUGCCCCGGUUGAAAGGUUCCAACAACAAAGACCUCCCUUAAAUGGACCAGGUUCAGGUGGUUCCACACCAAGGAUCCAGCCUUCCAAACGGCAGCGUGAAAAUGUGUCCCGGUGAGAAGGAAGUUAUAGGUCUUAGGCCCAUUUUAGUCAUUUUCGAAUAUAUUGGCUUGAUGCCUAGGCCCCUUUGAGGGAUCCACAGGAUGUAAAAUUGGAUAAGUCUAAGGCUCAGCAAUGGAUUAUUCCACCAUAUCUGAUGAAUCUCUUUGGUUAUCUUCUGAGGUACAGCAGGACUUAAUUCAGCAUCAAUGAUUGAAGGAACAUGGUUAUGGUAAAUGCUUUAAGUUGUUCAGGAGACUUGCAUGCUGCAACAUAAGCGAUUGCCUUUGACAUUGAUUCACCAGUGUGUCGUAUUGUAUAGCAAUUGGUUUUUCCCUAUCUUGCUUGUAUUCUACUGAUCUGGUGAUUUUGAUUGCGUCGGUCAAGAAUGUUUUGUGGCAGCAUGCUAAAGUGACAUGAUCUACAUCUUUGCAAGGUUUGCUAACAGAUAUGGAGACUUUGACCAUCUCAUGAAGGAAAGAACAAAGUACUGAAACAGAAAGGACCAGAAGAAAGAACAGGGCAAUUGUUGAUUUCAGCUGGACUAAUUUCAUUUGGAAAAAAAAGAAGAAAUACUUGCAGAAUACUAUGUAUUUAUUAUUCCUUCAUUAGGCUAGUUUUUAUAAAAUGUUUCUCCUGUCUAGGUGAUUUUUUAAUAUGGUAUUUAACUAUUUAUUAACCUAGAAAUUUUUUGGCUAAAGCUUGAUUUAGACAUGUCUAUGAAGAUUGUUUGAAUGACUGUUUUCAAUUGGAAUCAUCUGCACUCCUCUCAAAUUA